AUUGAACGCUGGCGGCAUGCUUUACACAUGCAAGUCGAACGGUAACAGGCCGCAAGGUGCUGACGAGUGGCGAACGGGAGAGAAAUGCAUCGGAACGUGCCCAGUCGUGGGGGAUAACGCAGCGAAAGCUGCGCUAAUACCGCAUACGAUCUACGGAUGAAAGCGGGGGACCGUAAGGCCUCGCGCGAUUGGCGCGGCCGAUGUCAGAUUAGGUAGUUGGUGGGGUAUAGGCUCACCAAGCCAACGAUCUGUAGCUGGUCUGAGAGGACGACCAGCCACACUGGGACUGAGACACGGCCCAGACUCCUACGGGAGGCAGCAGUGGGGAAUUUUGGACAAUGGGCGCAAGCCUGAUCCAGCAAUGCCGCGUGCAGGAAGAAGGCCUUCGGGUUGUAAACUGCUUUUGUACGGAACGAAACGGUCCUGGUUAAUACCCGGGGCUAAUGACGGUACCGUAAGAAUAAGCACCGGCUAACUACGUGCCAGCAGCCGCGGUAACCC
rnacentral:rRNA from 1 species